UGGGGAAUAUUGCGCAAUGGGCGAAAGCCUGACGCAGCAACGCCGCGUGAGUGAUGAAGGCCUUCGGGUCGUAAAGCUCUGUCGGAGGGAACGAAUGCUCUUGAGGUUAACAGCCUCGGGAGGUGACGGUACCCUCAAAGGAAGCGCCGGCUAACUCCGUGCCAGCAGCCGCGGUAAGACGGAGGGCGCAAGCGUUGUUCGGAAUUACUGGGCGUAAAGCGCGGGCAAGCGGUCUGUUAAGUCGUUUGUGAAAAUCCGGGGCUCAACCCCGGAAAUGCAUACGAUACUGGCAGGCUGGAGACUGGUAGAGGCUAGCGGAAUUCCUGGUGUAGCGGUGGAAUGCGUAGAUAUCAGGAGGAACACCUGAGGUGAAGACGGGUUGCUGGGCAUUUCCUGACGCUGAGACGCGAAAGCGUGGGGAGCGAACCGGAUUAGAUACCCGUGUAGUCCCUGAGCGGGCUGGCAAGGCGCAU
rnacentral:rRNA from 1 species